rnacentral:lncRNA from 1 species
AAACUAAAAAUAAUUAGUAGCCAAUAAUCCCUAAGUUAUUCUGCUUCUGCAGUCUGAACAUUACACUGGCAUAUAUACUUACUGAACUACACUUGCAUAGGGACAGGAUGUGAGUUUCAUAAGGCACAAAAUAAGUACGGUAGUAGCCAGUAACAUACUCCCUCCGGCCGGAAAUACUUGUCAUCAAAAUAAAUAAAAAGGGAUGUAUCUAGAUGUAUAUUAGUUCUAAAUACAUCUCUUUUUAUCCAUUUUGAUGACAAGUAUUUGCGGACGGAGGGAGUACAAGGUUAUGCUCUAAGCUAAGCUGCUUCCACGGUCCAAAGGCACCCACAAUUUAAAGUUUUUGUCUGGGAACACACACACACAAGAUUAUGCCGAACUUGAAUUUGCCAAUGACUCGUCCAUGAAGGCCAGCAGCGGGCAAGUAC